GAUGAACGCUGGCGGUAUGCUUAACACAUGCAGGUCGGACGGGAAGAGGUUUUUCCCGUGGCGGUCGGGUGAGCAACGCGUGAGCAGCUGCCCUUGGGAGGGGAACCACAGCUGGCAACGGCUGCUAAUACCCCGUAGGCUGAGUAGCACCAGGAGGAAUCCGCCUGAGGAAGGGCUCGGGUCUGAUUAGCUAGUUGGUGAGGCAAUAGCUUACCAAGGCGAUGAUCAGUAGCUGGUACGAGUGGAUGAUCAGCCACACUGGGACUGAGACACGGACUAGACAACAACGGGAAACAGCAGUAGGGAAGUUUCCGCAAUGCGGGAAGGCCUGACGAGGCAAUGGCGUGGGGAGGUAGAAGGCCUAGGGAUCGUGAACUUCUGUUCCCGGAGAAGAAGCAAUGGCGGUAUCUGGGGAAUAAGCAUCGGCUAACUCUGUG
rnacentral:rRNA from 1 species